rnacentral:tRNA from 1 species
GAUUAUAGUUUAUUUAAAACAUUUGAUUUGCAUUCAAAAAAUAUUGUCUCCAAUUUAUCUUA